GUUACCGAAGUAACGGUUUAUAUGGAAAUAUACCGUAAAAUAGAUGGAAAAUUAAUCAAAUAAUAAUUUAGUAAUAUGUUGUUAGUGCUUAUCUUAUGAAUAUAGUGUACCUAUGAUAUUCCUUCCUUUGUUGUUGUUUAGUUUUAUUUAGAGGGCGGGACUGAAAUUGAAAUGAACAAGGCGCGGCCAAGAAUCCCCUUCACACGUGCAGACAAAGAGCGCCAACACAACACAAAUAUGCACUUUUAAACUUUUUCAAACGCAACGACGACCUCCACGAACAUAGGAAAUGCAAAAGGUGGGUUGAAACCUGUUUUAUUUGAAAUAAAUUGGAAAAGUUCCUUGGAGCCGUACCUUCACAACAGGAUUUUAGCUGCAGGUCCUUUGAAUAACCAUCUACACUGUGGUGGAUUUACCCGCGACCUUUACCGGACUACUUGUGGAAUUCUGAAACUCAUGGAAUCGGAAUUGGAUUAUAUCUGCCGCCGCACAUCACAGCAAUGGCCCUCUAAAUUGGAUAGGCGUCUCAUCGGACCCUCAAGGACAACAUGGAUUUUGGAGGCCAUGGCACGAUGACGCAGAGAUGGGGACACAGAAGAAGAUGUGAUUUGUCUGCUUGAUUACAUGAAUAAAGGUCUCAUAUGC